rnacentral:rRNA from 2 species
AACUUUCAACAACGGAUCUCUUGGCUCUCGCAUCGAUGAAGAACGCAGCGAAAUGCGAUAAGUAAUGUGAAUUGCAGAAUUCAGUGAAUCAUCGAAUCUUUGAACGCACCUUGCGCCCUUUGGCAUUCCGAAGGGCACGCCUGUUUGAGUGUCA